CAGCAGCCACGGGAAUACGUAGGGCGCAAGCGUUAUCCGGAAUUAUUGGGCGUAAAGAGCUCGUAGGCGGUUUGUCGCGUCUGCCGUGAAAGUCCGGGGCUCAACCCCGGAUCUGCGGUGGGUACGGGCAGACUAGAGUGAUGUAGGGGAGACUGGAAUUCCUGGUGUAGCGGUGAAAUGCGCAGAUAUCAGGAGGAACACCGAUGGCGAAGGCAGGUCUCUGGGCAUUAACUGACGCUGAGGAGCGAAAGCAUGGGGAGCGAACAGGAUUAGAUACCCCCGUAGUCCCUGUCUCUUAUAC
rnacentral:rRNA from 1 species